rnacentral:rRNA from 1 species
UGGGGAAUAUUGCACAAUGGGCGCAAGCCUGAUGCAGCCAUGCCGCGUGUGUGAAGAAGGCCUUCGGGUUGUAAAGCACUUUCAGCGGGGAGGAAGGCGAUAAGGUUAAUAACCUUGUCGAUUGACGUUACCCGCAGAAGAAGCACCGGCUAACUCCGUGCCAGCAGCCGCGGUAAUACGGAGGGUGCAAGCGUUAAUCGGAAUUACUGGGCGUAAAGCGCACGCAGGCGGUUGAUUGAGUCAGAUGUGAAAUCCCCGGGCUUAACCCGGGAAUUGCAUCUGAUACUGGUCAGCUAGAGUCUUGUAGAGGGGGGUAGAAUUCCAUGUGUAGCGGUGAAAUGCGUAGAGAUGUGGAGGAAUACCGGUGGCGAAGGCGGCCCCCUGGACAAAGAAUGACGCUCAGGUGCGAAAGCGUGGGGAGCAAACAGG